rnacentral:rRNA from 2 species
AACGACUCUCGGCAACGGAUAUCUCGGCUCUCGCAUCGAUGAAGAACGUAGCGAAAUGCGAUACUUGGUGUGAAUUGCAGGAUCCCGCGAACCACCGAGUCUUCCUGGGCGUC